CCUACGGGGGACAGCAGUGAGGAAUAUUGGUCAAUGGUCGGGAGACUGAACCAGCCAAGCCGCGUGAGGGAGGAAGGUACAGAGUAUCGUAAACCUCUUUUGGCAGGGAACAAAGACUGGGACGCGUCCCCGGAUGAGUGUACCUGGAGAAAAAGCAUCGGCUAACUCCGUGCCAGCAGCCGCGGUAAUACGGAGGAUGAGAGCGUUAUCCGGAUUUAUUGGGUUUAAAGGGUGCGGGGGGGGUAUGUUAAGUCAGCGGUCAAAGCCCGGGGCUCAACCCCGGCCCGCCGUUGAUACUGGCAGUCUCGAGUUGGAGAGAAGUAUGCGGAAUGCGCGGUGUAGCGGGGAAAUGCAGAGAUAUCGCGCAGAACUCCGAUUGCGAAGGCAGCAUGCCGGCUCCACACUGACGCUGAGGCACGAAAGCGUGGGUAUCGAACAGGAUUAGAUACCCGAGUAGUC
rnacentral:rRNA from 1 species